rnacentral:snRNA from 1 species
GUGCUCACUUUGGCAGCACAUACACUAAAGUUGACAAUAAUACAAAGAAGAUUAUUAGCGUGGCCCCAGUGUAGUGACAACAUGCAAAUUCAUGAAAUGUUCUGUACUUAG